rnacentral:lncRNA from 1 species
GCUUGGGUUCGAAUCCCAUUGCAAGCAAAAAGGAUAUAUAUUUUGCUGGCAUGAGGUUGUAGGAGUUUGAGGUGGUUUCGAACUCUGUUGGGUGAGAGUUUGAAUGGGUCUUGGAGGUUGUUAUGGAGGAUAUCAAGGAGGGGUAUUUGGAGAGAUUUGAGGAGAGAAUAUUGGGAUUUGAGGGGGUUGUUGUUGUGGAGAGCGCUAUAUAUCCAUCUCAUUUGGUCAUUGUUCUAAAUGGGGGAG